rnacentral:lncRNA from 1 species
GGGGCGAGGCAGGACGUGACCCAGCUGCCUCCCGAACAGAGAGGAGAGGAGAUUCCAGCCGGGGACAGCAGCUGAGAAGAACCAGAUCCCAGAGGCAUGAGUGCAAAGAACAAAAGAAGCAGAGCUUCCACCGUUUAUCCCUGCGUUGCCCCUGCUGCAAUCGCUUCUCCUGGGCCACAUCACCUCUCCCUGGGACCGAAAGAUGGGGCAGCCAGUGCUUCCAGACCAGGAACCCGGCGUUAGGGGCUGAGCCCUCCAGGCCAGGCCCCCAAGCGUUGCGGAACGUUGCUGAUGCCUGUGAAGGAAUCCGUUCACCUGCCAGUGAAAUGCAGUUGCGUCAGGGGUGGAACAUGUUGGCUGUUUGGAACAGGAAGGACGCCAUACCUAGUGGGAACGGCGAGGGAUUACCGAUCCGCUUGUCGAUGCAGCUUAGGUUAGACAAGAGCUAGUGUGACUCAGCCCUGCCCUCUAGAGGGGAGAGGAAGGAGUUCGAUCGCCAAACCCGUUCAGGCCAUCUGCUGGGACUGCCAACAGGCCGGCAAAAUCGAUGCUAACGAUGUGGAUGUCGUGUCUACUGGGAUCCCGACUGAGACCCACCAAACUCAUUUCACACAGGCCGCCGAUCCAUCAGCAAAGAGCGAAAUCUUUCCUUGGGUUGGCUUUGACUCAGUGAUCAGGUAAGGAAAGAUCUUUGUCGCUAAUUUCCUGAGCCAUCUUCCAAUCUCUAUGCAUCCAAUAGGCAAUUCCUGGCUGGCUGAGACUAACGGGAAAAUGACCCCAGCAUCAAAAGACAUUGAUGGCCUUUCUCCAUCCAAAGGCUUAAAAUGUGUCAUGGUCUCUUCGUUAUAGACCAAUCAUACUUUAGAGAGGGGACGACCCUGAUCCCGAAAGCCCUGUUAUUUG